rnacentral:rRNA from 1 species
UACAGAGGGUGCGAGCGUUGUCCGGAAUCACUGGGCGUAAGGGCGCGUAGGCGGCCUGAUAAGUCGGGUGUGAAAUCUCGGGGCUUAACUCCGAAACUGCAUUCGAUACUGCCGUGCUUGAGGACUGGAGAGGAGACGUGGAAUUUACGGUGUAGCGGUGAAAUGCGUAGAUAUCGUAAGGAAGACCAGUGGCGAAGGCGGGUCUCUGGACAGUUCCUGACGGUGAGGCACGGAAGGUCAGGGGAGCAAACGGG